GUGGGGAAUAUUGCACAAUGGGCGCAAGCCUGAUGCAGCCAUGCCGCGUGUGUGAAGAAGGCCUUCGGGUUGUAAAGCACUUUCAGCGGGGAGGAAGGCGUUAAGGUUAAUAACCUUGGCGAUUGACGUUACCCGCAGAAGAAGCACCGGCUAACUCCGUGCCAGCAGCCGCGGUAAUACGGAGGGUGCAAGCGUUAAUCGGAAUUACUGGGCGUAAAGCGCACGCAGGCGGUCUGUCAAGUCGGAUGUGAAAUCCCCGGGCUCAACCUGGGAACUGCAUUCGAAACUGGCAGGCUAGAGUCUUGUAGAGGGGGGUAGAAUUCCAGGUGUAGCGGUGAAAUGCGUAGAGAUCUGGAGGAAUACCGGUGGCGAAGGCGGCCCCCUGGACAAAGACUGACGCUCAGGUGCGAAAGCGUGGGGAGCAAACAGGAUUAGAUACCCUAGUAGUCC
rnacentral:rRNA from 1 species